AUGACUAUACUUUCAGGGAUCAUUCUCAUAGUUAUUUACUAGAAAUGUUUCUCUGAAUGAGUAUACCAGAGACUACAAGGAUGACACAGAGCACCCUCUCCUGAGUGGGAAGCUGGUUUUAAGUGCUGCUCUAGCAGCUGCUUACUGCUAUUGAUGAUCGUUCAUACCUUCUCCAAGAUGGGAUGAGAGAGAGGAUGUAGUCUGAGUGGA